AUCAGUUUCAAGGCUGCCCCCAUUUUGCUUUGACCAAUACUUCUGAACGGAAGCAAACACAAUCUUUGGGGCCUGUUUACUAAAAUAGUAGAGAGACAUAGAAAAUUUCCACCAAUACAACAUGAUUGUAUUAAAAAUAAAUAAAAGAACAGAGCAAGGAUACAGGUUGUGCCAAAAUAUAGAACACCAAAUGGUAACCCUCUAAAAAUUGGUAAAAAUGCACCAAGAAAUAUACACUACAAAAUAAAAAAUACCAGAUCGUUAAACACAGUCCUGAAGUGACAAUCCUUCAAAUUUUCUUAUGUUCUUGGGACAGCUUCACUUUGUGGCAGCGUAUGAAAAACAUAUGGGCAACCUUGUAGGGGGUUUGAAGAAGAGUGAGUUGUCAAAAUGUUAAACUUUUAGAUUUAAAAGUGAAUGUUAUUAGUUGAUUUAGUAAGGAUAAUUUUCGAAUAUUUGAGGGAGAGGACACCAGAUUAUAGAAGGUCAAAGAUUGGUCCAAUUUAGUGAAAAUGUUUAGUUCUCUUACAUUAUUUUUAGAGGGAAAAGAGUUUCCACACUUACAGUCAAGGUGGAAUACCGCUUAGAGUGCAGGCAUAUUUACACAUAGUACUGGG